UACGUAGGGUGCGAGCGUUAAUCGGAAUUACUGGGCGUAAAGCGUGCGCAGGCGGCGCGUUAAGACAGGUGUGAAAGCCCCGAGCUUAACUUGGGAAUUGCGCUUGUGACUGGCGUGCUGGAGUGUGGCAGAGGGAGGUGGAAUUCCACGUGUAGCAGUGAAAUGCGUAGAGAUGUGGAGGAACACCGAUGGCGAAGGCAGCCUCCUGGGCCAGCACUGACGCUCAUGCACGAAAGGCGUGGGGAGCAAACAGG
rnacentral:rRNA from 1 species